AAUCCAUGUUGUGGGCACUGACAGAGUAGGCUCUUGUAUCGCUCCCAAGUCUCUGAAUAACAUUCAGAGUCCAACUGUUGGAAUAUAGUGAUCUCAUCUCUUAGCUU
rnacentral:snoRNA from 1 species